GAUGAACGCUGGCGGCGUGCUUAACACAUGCAAGUCGAACGGAAAGGCCAGUGCUUGCACUGGUGCUCGAGUGGCGAACGGGUGAGUAACACGUGGGUGAUCUGCCCUGCACUUUGGGAUAAGCCUGGGAAACUGGGUCUAAUACCAGAUAGGACCAUGCUUUGGAUGGUGUGGUGGAAAGUUUUUUCGGUGUGGGAUGAGCUUGCGGCCUAUCAGCUUGUUGGUGGGGUAAUGGCCUACCAAGGCGUCGACGGGUAGCCGGCCUGAGAGGGUGUACGGCCACAUUGGGACUGAGAUAAGGCCCAGACUCCUACGGGAGGCAGCAGUGGGGAAUAUUGCACAAUGGGCGCAAGCCUGAUGCAGCGACGCCGCGUGGGGGAUGACGGCCUUCGGGUUGUAAACUCCUUUCGCAACUGACGAAGCUUUUUGUGACGGUAGGUUGAGAAGAAGCACCGGCUAACUACGUG
rnacentral:rRNA from 1 species